UGCUGCAUUAUGAUCACGUUUUUAUUCUAAUUGGUAAUACAAAACUACUGACCAGUGGUAGUGCUUCAUUUUUCAAAAAGCCAUUAAAACAAGAUGGUGAACACGAUUGAACAUAUAACAUGCUACAAAAGACAAAAACAUGUAAUUCUCUCAUUUUAAUCCAUUCUAGCCCAAUGACAGCCUACAUACCAUCUAAAAAAAAAUAAGUGUGUGCAGUGAUGCUAAAUAAUUGCAUUUUUUGCUCAACAUACAAAAUCAUUACAUGGAUCAUUUUUUAAUAUAAAUAUUUUCGGAGGCUUAUUCACAUUCAUUUUUGUCAUGGGUUCUGGCUCUUCGUCAUUAUGUAACACUGGUCUUUGAGCUUUUUAUUUAACAGUCUAUUCUUUUAAAAAUGUAACAGUACAAAAACAAGCAUUGAUGUUAAAAUAACAGGUGUGCAUAUAUAAAAUAUAAGAGUCCAGUUUACAAGGUAUUUGUAAUUAGAAGAAAAUUAACCAAGUUGAACUGUACUGAUCCUUUAAUAUCAACAUGGUUACUAAAUAAAUGUGAAAAUCGCUAUGCUGAAAUGAAAAGGUUAAGAACCUCACAUGUCAUUGGAUCUCAGUUAAAAUCAGUGAGUUGCAUAUACAAAAACAAAACAAAAAUAAAGCGCUUUAUUCUUUCAGUGUUGAACGCAUCAAUGAAGUCACACUUUUGUGUCUGAGAGGUCGCUGCUUGUUGCUAUGGCUAUAAAAGAUAUGCCACAAAGUGUUAUGACUCCAUUGUGUGUGUAUACACACAUUGUUAUAAAUGUAAGGAUGUUCUGUCAGAGCAAGCACUGAUGAUGGAAGUAUCUGUACAUGGAUAUUGCUGCGUCAUUAAACCCUCUGCAGCGUGAGAAUUUCAGAAGGGAAUAGGGGAAACUGGAAAGGCUUUAGCACAGCUUACCCUUUAAGAAUGGCGUUCUACAACCAAGGUUUGAGACUUCUCUUAAAAAAAGAUUAAGAGGGCAGUCUUAAAGAUUGUGAUCACAUGCACAUUAACACAAACUCAAAUCAGCUUCUCAACGCAUGUUUGUCAAAAAAAAGGCACGGUUAUUUAUGUUCAGACAGCCUCAGACUCAUCCGAAAAAGUGCAAGUGUAGGACAUGGUGUGCAAGAUUUACAUAAAGUGGUAUUAAAUCCAACUGUAUUGUAUGUUUAAUCAUCAGCCUUUCUAUGCUAGAUAACAUGGAAUAACAGUUGCCCCUUUGGCAAUUUAUGGAAAAGGAAGAGGGGGGAAAAUAUAAAAUAAAACAUUUUCAAGUUCCUUCAUGCGUCAGAACAAUCCGACAUCUUGCAGCCACUUGUGAGGCGUGCACUAAUUCAUAUUGUACAAUGAUGUAAAUAAUUACUACAUUGUAAUCUGUGCAACAUACUGCGCAUCAGGGGGAAUCCUAGCAAUAUGUAACGCAUGCAAGCAGAUUAUAUUACCAUAUCUUGUAGUAGAAAUUGACUAGGCCAAAGGUAGUGGUUAUUCCAGACUUGAAUAUACCACCCUCCUAGUGGUCAGUCACACCUUUAAAUGACACUCCAGUGGUGUCAAGGGGCAUAACCCCAAAAUGGAAGUAUUAGAAAAUGACUUUCCUGUUACUGGUCACUGAAACCAGAACCAGGACUGUCAG